rnacentral:misc_RNA from 1 species
GAAAUGCGAUAAGUAAUGUGAAUUGCAGAAUUCAGUGAAUCAUCGAAUCUUUGAACGCACCUUGUGCUCCUUGGUAUUCCUUGGAGCAUGCCUGUUUGAGUAUCAUGAAAUCUUCAAAGUAAAUCUUUUGUUAACUCAAUUGGUUUCUACUUUGGUAUUGGAGGUCUUUGCAGCUUCACACCUGCUCCUCUUUGUUCAUUAGCUGGAUCUCAGUGCUAUGCUUGGUUCCACUCGGCGUGAUAAGUUAUCUAUCGCUGAGGACACUGUAAAAGGUGGCCAAGGUAAAUGCAGAUGAACCGCUUCUAAUAGUCCAUUGACUUGGACAAUACUUUUAUGAUCUGAUCUCAAAUCAGGUAGGACUACCCGCUGAACUUAAGC